AUCGCUUCUCGGCCUUUUGGCUAAGAUCAAGUGUAGAAAAUGUAGAUUAAAUUACUGUAUGAUUUCCU
ensembl:snRNA LOC120099541 U2 spliceosomal RNA